ACCGGGCGUGGUGGUGCGCACCUGUAAUCCCAGGUACUCAGGAGGCUUAGGCAGGAGAAUCACUUGAACCUGGGAGGCGGAGAUUGCAGUGAGCCGAGAUCGUGCCACUGCACUCCAGCCUGGGUGAAAGAGACUCAAAACAAAAAAAAAUAAUAAUAAGUCUGGCUUUAGAGCCUUUUUUUUUUUUUUUUUAAGAGGGAAUCUCGUUCUUGUCACCCAGGCUGGAGUGCAAUGGCGCAAUCUUGGCUCACUGCAAUCUCCGCCUCCGGGGUUCAAGCGAUUCUCCUGCCUC
rnacentral:SRP_RNA from 1 species